CAGGUGUGUUAUAUGUUUAACUGUAUUAUAUAGUCAGGUGCGUAGCUAUGCGACACAUUAUCAUCAUUGUGAUGGAUUCAAGGAUUUGAUGAUCGCUCACUGAUCCAGCCAGCAGACACGGACACAGUUACAGACACGGAUACAGUUACAGACACAGCGACGGCAGCCGUGCCACCGUUUGCUGGCAUACAGCAGGUUGCUAUAGGCUACAGCGCUCCUGUUUUUAAGAGAAUGACAGGAAGGCGUUGUCAGUUUAACCCAGACUGCCUCUCGGACUGCUGUGUUAGAAAGGUUGGAGAGAGAACGUUCACUUGUCAGCCGCUCUCCGCUCUAGAGGAGCUAUGCUCGACAGGACAGAUAAAAGGAGGUCGUUAUGCGUACGGCUGCCCCUGUGAAUCAGAUCAAGAUUUGGAGUGUGUAUACACCGGCAAUGGAACUAACAGCUGCGCAGUUCGCUCACUGAUUCAAGGAUUUGAUGAUCACUAAUCCUGGAUGCAUAACGUGUCAGGAUAUGUUGAAAGCGUGAAGAGAGCCUCGUGUGCCACAUUGAUCAUGUGCAGCUAUUGCAAGCCAGCUGAAGGACAUACGAAGAUAUAACCAUGACACGGUGAUAGAGAACGCAACGUGGCCGUAGAGCGACCAGCGGCUCACUGCCCGUGUAACUGUAGCCAGGUAUUCUUCGUGAUAAACUCACGCAACCGAAUCCAAGUGUGCCUCCUGCCAC
rnacentral:misc_RNA from 1 species